UACCUGCUUACCAUCAACAUCGAAACUUGCC
rnacentral:piRNA from 1 species